GGGGAGGUUGUUCCGGGAGUUUGUGGAAUCUCCCUUCUUGGAGAUAUUCAAAAGCCAUCUGGACAUGUUCCUGGGCAACCGGCUCUAGGUAGCCCUGAUUGAGCAGGGGGUUGGACAAAAUGACCUCCAGAGGUCCCUUCCAACCUCAACCUUUCUGUGAUU